ACACAUGCAAGUCGAGGGGCAGCAUGGUCUUAGCUUGCUAAGGCCGAUGGCGACCGGCGCACGGGUGAGUAACGCGUAUCCAACCUGCCUUACACUCUUGGACAGCCUUCUGAAAGGGAGAUUAAUACAAGAUGUUAUCAUGAGUAAGCAUUUUCGCAUGAUUAAAGGUUUACCGGUGUAAGAUGGGGAUGCGUUCCAUUAGAUAGUAGGCGGGGUAACGGCCCACCUAGUCUUCGAUGGAUAGGGGUUCUGAGAGGAAGGUCCCCCACAUUGGAACUGAGACACGGUCCAAACUCCUACGGGAGGCAGCAGUGAGGAAUAUUGGUCAAUGGACGAGAGUCUGAACCAGCCAAGUAGCGUGAAGGAUGAAGGUUCUAUGGAUUGUAAACUUCUUUUAUACGGGAAUAAACGAAUCCACGCGUGGAUUUUUGCAUGUACCGUAUGAAUAAGGAUCGGCUAACUCCGUGCCAGCAGCCGCGGUAAUACGGAGGAUCCGAGCGUUAUCCGGAUUUAUUGGGUUUAAAGGGAGCGUAGAUGGGUUGUUAAGUCAGUUGUGAAAGUUUGCGGCUCAACCGUAAAAUUGCAAUUGAUACUGGCAGUCUUGAGUACAGUUGAGGUAGGCGGAAUUCGUGGUGUAGCGGUGAAAUGCUUAGAUAUCACGAAGAACUCCGAUUGCGAAGGCAGCUUACUAACCUGUAACUGACAUUGAUGCUCGAAAGUGUGGGUAUCAAACAGGAUUAGAUACCCUGGUAGUCCACACGGUAAACGAUGAAUACUCGCUGUAGGCGAUAUACAGUCUGCGGCCAAGCGAAAGCAUUAAGUAUUCCACCUGGGGAGUACGCCGGCAACGGUGAAACUCAAAGGAAUUGACGGGGGCCCGCACAAGCGGAGGAACAUGUGGUUUAAUUCGAUGAUACGCGAGGAACCUUACCCGGGCUUAAAUUGCAACCGAAUAUGGCGGAAACGCUAUAGCUAGCAAUAGCGGUUGUGAAGGUGCUGCAUGGUUGUCGUCAGCUCGUGCCGUGAGGUGUCGGCUUAAGUGCCAUAACGAGCGCAACCCUUGCCGAUAGUUACUAACAGGUCAUGCUGAGGACUCUGUCGGGACUGCCAUCGUAAGAUGUGAGGAAGGUGGGGAUGACGUCAAAUCAGCACGGCCCUUACGUCCGGGGCUACACACGUGUUACAAUGGGGGGUACAGAGGGCUGCUACCACGCAAGUGGAUGCCAAUCCCAAAAACCUCUCUCAGUUCGGAUUGAAGUCUGCAACCCGACUUCAUGAAGCUGGAUUUGCUAGUAAUCGCGCAUCAGCCACGGCGCGGUGAAUACGUUCCCGGGCCUUGUACACACCGCCCGUCAAGCCAUGGGAGCCGGGGGUACCUGAAGUGCGUAACCGCAAGGAGCGCCCUAGGGUAAAACUGGUGACUGGGGCUAAAUG
rnacentral:rRNA from 1 species